rnacentral:rRNA from 1 species
CACGGGGGGAGCAAGCGUUGUUCGGAAUCACUGGGCGUAAAGGGCGUGUAGGCGGUCAGGUAAGUGGGACGUGAAAUGCCUCGGCUCACCCGAGGAGCGGCGUCCCAUACUGCUUGGCUUGAGUACGGGAGAGGAUGUGGGAAUUCCUGGUGUAGCGGUGAAAUGCGCAGAUAUCAGGAAGAACACCAAUGGCGAAAGCAGCUUUCUGGGACGGUACUGACGCUGAGACGCGAAAGCGUGGGGAGCGAACAGG